UGUAGGUGUAGCUCAAUCGGAUAGAGCAUCCGCCUUCUAAGCGGACGGUUGGGGGUUCGAUUCCCUCCAUCUACGU
rnacentral:tRNA from 8 species